rnacentral:rRNA from 1 species
UACGUAGGUCCCGAGCGUUGUCCGGAUUUAUUGGGCGUAAAGCGAGCGCAGGUGGUUUAUUAAGUCUGGUGUAAAAGGCAGUGGAUCAACCAUUGUAUGCAUUGGAAACUGGUAGACUUGAGUGCAGGAGAGGAGAGUGGAAUUCCAUGUGUAGCGGUGAAAUGCGUAGAUAUAUGGAGGAACACCGGUGGCGAAAGCGGCUCUCUGGCCUGUAACUGACACUGAGGCUCGAAAGCGGGGGGAGCGAACAGG